rnacentral:lncRNA from 1 species
GCACCGCGUGCGCAAAGCCCAGCUGACGACACACCACGGCGGCUGCCUUGGUGUCCCAGGCGUCGUCGCACACCGUGCCCCAGCGUCCGCCUAUGAACACUUCCACGCGACCACUGCCGGGGCUCAGGCCUGCGGGCCGUACCAGACGCACCGAGCCGUUCUGGGGUUCAGAGACCGCGAAUCUGAGGGGUAUGACCGGGAUGAGGAGACGAAACCUUUACCCUGGAGAAGAUGAACAUUUCCAAGGCCAAGAGAUGACAACGGAAUGAGGACCAGUGUUCCGUCUGCAUGUAUGCCUGCAAACCAGAAGAAGGCACUAGAUCUCAUUACAGAUGGUUGUGAGCCACCAAGUGGUUGCUGGGAAUUGAACUCAGGACCUCUGGAAGAGCAGUCAGGGCUCUUAACCGCUGAGCCAUCUCACCUGCCUCUGAAUCCCUCUGGAUCUUGUUGCCUCCACUUCCUAAGAGCUGCUAUUAUACGGAAUGUACCAACCACUCUCAGUGUUUUACCAUGAGCCUUUUUUAAGUCACUGUUGGAGGCACGUGCUUUCAUGCUCCUUCUCCACCUGUCAGGUCCAUGGGACAAACCUUCUGUAAUUGAGAAGUGGUCUCUCAGGCUUGGCUGUAAUCCUGAAAAUUCUGCCCCCCCCCCUCCGCGCCACCCCCUCUGGCUGCCAGAUAACUCGAGUCAAAACUAAUGCUCUAAGACAAGAUUAUAACCCUCAAAGCU